UACGGGGGGAGCAAGCGUUGUUCGGAUUUACUGGGCGUAAAGGGCGCGUAGGCGGCGCAACAAGUCAGUUGUGAAAUCUCCGGGCUUAACCCGGAGCGGCCAAGUGAUACUGUCGUGCUAGAGUGCGGAAGGGGCUACUGGAAUUCUCGGUGUAGCGGUGAAAUGCGUAGAUAUCGAGAGGAACACCUGCGGCGAAGGCGGGUAGCUGGGCCGACACUGACGCUGAGGCGCGAAAGCCAGGGGAGCGAACGGG
rnacentral:rRNA from 1 species